rnacentral:rRNA from 1 species
AAUCAGCCGGUACUCCGAUGCUUAGAUUAGAGUUGAUCAUGGCUCAGAGUGAACGCUGGCGGUAGGCCUAACACAUGCAAGUCGAACGGCAGCACAGGAGAGCUUGCUCUCUGGGUGGCGAGUGGCGGACGGGUGAGGAAUACAUCGGAAUCUACUUUUUCGUGGGGGAUAACGUAGGGAAACUUACGCUAAUACCGCAUACGACCUACGGGUGAAAGCAGGGGAUCUUCGGACCUUGCGCGAUUGAAUGAGCCGAUGUCGGAUUAGCUAGUUGGCGGGGUAAAGGCCCACCAAGGCGACGAUCCGUAGCUGGUCUGAGAGGAUGAUCAGCCACACUGGAACUGAGACACGGUCCAGACUCCUACGGGAGGCAGCAGUGGGGAAUAUUGGACAAUGGGCGCAAGCCUGAUCCAGCCAUACCGCGUGGGUGAAGAAGGCCUUCGGGUUGUAAAGCCCUUUUGUUGGGAAAGAAAUCCAGCUGGCUAAUACCCGGUUGGGAUGACGGUACCCAAAGAAUAAGCACCGGCUAACUUCGUGCCAGC